rnacentral:lncRNA from 1 species
GAUUUGCCCGUUUUGGACACUUUCUAGUAUGAAGCCACAAACGCGUGUAGCCUUCCGUGCUUGUUUCUCGUGUGCCAGGGCCUUGCUCCUGUUGGGGCCUCACAGUACUCUAGCCUGUGGGUAGAUAGACCCUGCUGUGUUCACCAUCUGUCCAUGCGCAGAUGUCCUCAGCUGGCUCAUCCGAGUGAGCUGUGUUUGCUCUUGUGUGGUGCCUGAGGUACAGAGUAGGGAAGGCCAGGAGGGCUCCUCAGUGAGACCGAUGUCUGCUCAGCCAAGUCUCCAUAGCAGGAGCACAGGCACACCUUCCACGCCCAGAAGUAGCCCGAGGAUGGCCCUUCACUCUCAUGGUGACAAGGCGUUAGGCAGUCUCCAUGACGCUGGGGCUCCAAUCCUCCCUGUGGCACCCCAGGCUGAGUGCUUGGAGGAGGGCCGUGGUUAUUUCAGGCCAUCAAGGACAAGGGAAGUGACACAGUCCUCCCCCUGCUGGGUCCCCCCCUCCUCAGGGAGUGUAGGUGACCCGGCAUCUUCUGUCAUUUGCAGAGCCGACAGCUCCUUUAACUUCAUGGCAUUCUUCUUCAUCUUUGGAGCCCAGUUUGUGCUGACUGUCAUUCAGGCCAUCGGCUUCUCGGGCUGGGGCGCGUG